GAUGAACGCUAGCGGCAGGCCUAACACAUGCAAGUCGAACGGUAACAGAUCUUUCGGGAUGCUGACGAGUGGCGCACGGGUGCGUAACGCGUAUGCAACCUACCCUUAACUGGGGGAUAGCCCAUGGAAACGUGGAUUAAUACCCCAUAAUAUAAUUUAUUCGCAUGUUUAAAUUAUUAAAACUUCGGUGGUUAAGGAUGGGCAUGCGUAAGAUUAGCUAGUUGGUGAGGUAACUGCUCACCAAGGCGACGAUCUUUAGGGGGCCUGAGAGGGUAACCCCCCACACUGGUACUGAGACACGGACCAGACUCCUACGGGAGGCAGCAGUGAGGAAUAUUGGGCAAUGGACGAAAGUCUGACCCAGCCAUGCCGCGUGCAGGAAGACGGCCCUAUGGGUUGUAAACUGCUUUUAUAUAGGAAGAAACCCCCGAACGUGUUCGGGGCUGACGGUACUAUACGAAUAAGGACCGGCUAACUCCG
rnacentral:rRNA from 1 species